UGUAGCUCAGUGGUAGAGUGUGUGCUUAGCAUGCAUGAGGUCCUGGGUUCAAUCCCCAGUA
rnacentral:tRNA from 1 species